GAUGAACGCUAGCGGCAGGCCUAAUACAUGCAAGUCGAACGGGGCAGUUCAGCAAUGAACUGUUCAGUGGCGCACGGGUGCGUAACGCGUAUGCAACCUACCUUAAACUGGGGGAUAGCCUUCCGAAAGGGAGAUUAAUACCGCAUAAGAUCACACGAAGGCAUCUGAGAGUGAUUAAAGAUUUAUUGGUUUAAGAUGGGCAUGCGUGCCAUUAGCUAGUAGGUACGGUAACGGCCUACCAAGGCUACAAUGGCUACGGGUUCUGAGAGGAUGAUCCCCCACACUGGUACUGAGAUACGGACCAGACUCCUACGGGAAGCAGCAGUAGGGAAUAUUGGGCAAUGGACGGAAGUCUGACCCAGCCAUGCCGCGUGCAGGAUGAAGGCCUUCUGGGUUGUAAACUGCUUUUAUCUAGGAAGAAAACGCCCAUGCGUGGGAAACUGACGGUACUA
rnacentral:rRNA from 1 species